AGACGAACCGUCCAAACGUUAUUCGGAAUUAUUGGGCUUAAAGGGUGCGUAGGCGGUGCGGUAAGUCGGGUGUGAAAUCCCUCAGCUCAACUGAGGAACUGCGCUCGAUACUGCCGUGCUUGUGGAAGAUAGAGGUCAGCGGAACUGAUGGUGGAGCGGUGAAAUGCGUUGAUAUCAUCAGGAACACCAGUGGCGAAAGCGGCUGACUGGAUCUUUUCUGACGCUGAGGCACGAAAGCUAGGGGAGCGAACGGGAUUAGAUACCCCGGUAGUCCUAGCUGUAAACGAUGAGCACUUGAUCGAAGACUCCUCCAUAGGUUUUCGGUCGUAGCGAAAGUGUUAAGUGCUCCGCCUGGGGAGUAUGGUCGCAAGGCUGAA
rnacentral:rRNA from 1 species